GCAGAUGAGAGGCAAUCAUCCUGCCAACUCCCGACGGAGCAGAGUUGGGAAACCGAGGCCGGAGCGCGUGCGGGGUAGGAGAGCGGCGCGGUCGGACCGCUUUGUACCUGGGCUUGGCGGCCGGGAUUGCAAUAAUUGCCCUCCAUGUGGAUACAGGGGAAGGAGGUCAGAGACCAGAGGCAGAAAGAGGCUGAAGCUGUAAGACAGCGUCAGGACCUGAACCAAGGUAAAGGAAUCUUGUGUCUUCUGCCAGCAUCCAUGAGGCGGUCUUGUAGCUUUGAAGUCAGGUGGCCAUUCCAACCAGCAGUGUCUGAGAUUUCUAUUGCUCUGAAUUCCUGCACACCCUUGGUAUUGUCAGUUUUUUAAAAGCCACUCUCGUAUAACUAUUUUCAAAACAGCAACCAGGACUUCCAUGGUGAUCCAGUGGUUAAGAAUCCACCUGCCAAUGCAUUAGACAUGGGUUUGACCCCUGUUCAGAAAGAUUCCACAUGCCACAGAGCAGCUAAGCCCGUGCACCAGAGCUACAGAAGCCUGCACGCCCAGAGCCUGUACUUCACAAGAGAAGCCGCCGCAAGGAGAGCCUGCACACCUCCACUGGAGAGUAGCUCCUCUUCCCUGUAACCAGAGAAAGCCUAAACACAGCAGUGAUGACCCAGAACAGCCAAAAAUUUUUAAAAACAAGUUUUAAAGCAGCAGCCGUAAUUACCCUUUAAGUGUUUGUCAAGAGCUUCCCUGGUGGCUCAGUGAUAAAGAAUCUGCCUGCCAAUGCAAGAAACAUGGGUUCGAUCCCUGGUCUGGGAAGAUCCCACAUACCAAGGAGCAGCUAAGCCCGUGAGCCACAAUUAUUGAGCUUAUGAUCUAGAGCCUGGGAACCACAACUACUGGGGCCCAUGUGCCCUGCAGCUUGUGUUUCACAAGAGAAGCCAACACUUGCCCCAACUAGAGAAAAGCCUGAGCAGCAACGAAGGCCCAGGAGUCAAAAAUAAACAAAUAAAAUUAUUUUUUUAAUGGGUUUCAAAUUGUGUCACUGCUCUAAUGGCUUCCUGUAGUUGGCUGAAUAGUGGGCCCCCCAAAAUGUCACAUCCUAAUUCCCAGAACCUGCAAAUAAAUUACCUUACCUGGUAAAAGGGAUGUUGUAGAUGUGCUUCGGUUCAGAAUCUUGAGACGGAUAGAUUAUCUUGGAUUAUCUGGGUGGACCCAAUGAAAUCACAAGUGUUCUUAGAGGAAGGAGGCAGGAGUGUCAGAUUCAGAGAAUGAUAUGAUGACAGUAGAAGCAAAGUUUAGAGUGAUGUAGCCAUAAGCCAAGGAAUGCCACCCCUAGAAUUUCUUUUUCUUUUCUGGCCAUGUUAUGCAGCUUGUAGUAUGUUAGUUCCCCAAUUAGGGAUUCAACCAG